rnacentral:rRNA from 1 species
UGAAGCGGGGAAGAGCUCAAGCUGAAAAUCUUCGGAAUUGUAGUCUAUAGGUGCGGACUCGCGUGGAGCCGGGUAUAAAUCCGUUCUAGGAACUGGGUGCCAGAGAGGGUUAGAGCCCCGUCUUUGACUCGGUGAGCUGCGCGUGACGAGUACGGACCAGAGAGUCGGCUUGCUUGGGAAUGCAGGUCAAAAUGGGUGGUAAACUUCAUCUAAAGCUAAAUAUUGGCGAGAGACCGAUAGCGAACAAGUACUGUGAAGGAAAGAUGGAAAGAACUUUGAAAAGAGAGUGAAAAAGGGCUUGAAAUUGUUAAGAGGAGAAGUGAUUGGAGCAUAUCAUACCUUCUAGGGUUAAUGGUUGGGAUUUAUCCUGGCAAUGUAUUCCUGGUUGGUUGGUCAGCAUCGGUUUGGGCUUGGGGAGACUACUUUUAUCGUGAAACCUAGUGAUCGGUAGAUGUGAAACCCGGGGCGAGACCGAGGCACAAAGAGCGCGCAUAGCGACCGGCUUGAGCCCUUCUGCAUUGCAGUCCAACACUCUUCGGAGUGUUGUCUGUACUGUGGUUGAUGCGAAGAGUGCAGGAUCUGCGUUCUGAAGAUGCUGGCACAAAUGGCUUCAAUCAGCCCGUCUUGAAACACGGACCAAGGAGUCUAACACAUAUGCAAGUAGUAAGGUGGCAAACCUUGGAUGCGCAAUGAAAGUAAACGUAGGUGGGAUUCGCAAGAUGCACCAUCGACCGACCAGGAUCAUCAGUGAAAGGUUUGAGUAAGAGCAUAUUUGUUGGGACCCGAAAGAUGGUGAACUAUGCCUGAAUAGGGUGAAGCCAGAGGAAACUCUGGUGGAGGCUCGUAGCGGUACUGACGUGCAAAUCGUUCGUCAAAUUUGGGUAUAGCGGCGAAAGACUAAUCGAACCAUCUAGUAGCUGGUUCCCUCCGA